UUGUGGAGGCACUACUUCCAGAACACUCAAGGUCUUAUUUUUGUGGUUGAUCGCAAUGACAGGGAUCGAGUUGUUGAGGCAAGGGAUGAGUUGCACAUGAUGUUGAAUUAGGUAGUUACUGAUUCUCAUGUAUUAUAAUUUGUGCUUGUUUAUACUAGGGAUUCAUUAGUUCCAAUUGCAAAAGAUCAUAGGAUCCUUUUACCCAAAAAAAUAAAUAAAUAAAAUCUACAUUGCUUCACUAAGUUUCUAUUUGGUUUGGUGCAUACUUUCCUGGACUUGCAUCUGCUUACUUGUUGUAGUUAUAUAGCUUUAUGUCUUAGUUGCUUGAUGAGUUAUUCUGGGUUCUUGUUCUUUGUUGUUCUAAAUUGUUGGCUUUUGUAAGUUUCUAUAGACACCCAUUUGAUUGGAGCC
rnacentral:lncRNA from 1 species